rnacentral:rRNA from 1 species
AGUGGCGGACGGGUGAGUAACACAUAGGAAUCUGCCCGAGAGUGGGGGAUAACCCAGGGAAACUUGGAUUAAUACCGCAUGAUCUCUACGGAGCAAAGCUGGGGACCUUCGGGCCUGGCGCUUUUGGAGGAGCCUAUGUCUGAUUAGCUUGUUGGUGAGGUAACGGCUCACCAAGGCGACGAUCAGUAACUGGUCUGAGAGGACGACCAGUCACACCGGAACUGAGACACGGUCCGGACUCCUACGGGAGGCAGCAGUGGGGAAUAUUGGACAAUGGGCGAAAGCCUGAUCCAGCAAUGCCGCGUGUGUGAAGAAGGCCUUCGGGUUGUAAAGCACUUUAGGAUGGAAAGAAGAAACUUCAGUUAAUAGCUGAAGUCUUGACGGUACCAUCAGAAUAAGCACCGGCUAACUCUGUGCCAGCAGCCGCGGUAAUACAGAGGGUGCAAGCGUUAAUCGGAUUUACUGGGCGUAAAGCGUGUGUAGGUGGUGGCGUAAGUCGAUUGUGAAAUCCCCGGGCUCAACCUGGGAACUGCUUUCGAUACUGCGUCACUAGAGUACGGUAGAGGGUGGUGGAAUUUCCGGUGUAGCGGUGAAAUGCGUAGAUAUCGGAAGGAACAUCAAUGGCGAAGGCAACCACCUGGGCCUGUACUGACACUGAGACACGAAAGCGUGGGGAUCAAACAGGAUUAGAUACCCUGGU